rnacentral:rRNA from 1 species
GUCGAGCGGCAGCGCGGGGCAACCUGGCGGCGAGCGGCGAACGGGUGUGUAACAUAUCGGAACGUGUCCUUUAGUGGGGGAUAACUACUCGAAAGAGUAGCCAAUACCGCAUACGAUCGGGAGAUGAAAGCGGGGGAUCGCAAGACCUCGCGCUAAAGGAGUGGCCGAUAUCAGAUUAGCUAGUUGGUGAGGUAAAGGCUCACCAAGGCGACGAUCUGUAGCUGGUCUGAGAGGAUGAUCAGCCACACUGGAACUGAGACACGGUCCAGACUCCUACGGGAGGCAGCAGUGGGGAAUUUUGGACAAUGGGGGCAACCCUGAUCCAGCCAUUCCGCGUGAGUGAAGAAGGCCUUCGGGUUGUAAAGCUCUUUUGUCGGGGACGAAACGGUUACGAUUAAUACUCGUGACAACUGACGGUAUCCGAAGAAUAAGCACCGGCUAACUACGUGCCAGCAGCCGCGGUAAUACGUAGGGUGCGAGCGUUAAUCGGAAUUACUGGGCGUAAAGCGUGCGCAGGCGGUUUUGUAAGCCAGAUGUGAAAUCCCCGGGCUUAACCUGGGAAUGGCAUUUGGAACUGCAAGGCUAGAGUAUGGCAGAGGAGACUAGAAUUUCUGGUGUAGCAGUGAAAUGCGUAGAUAUCAGAAGGAAUACCGAUGGCGAA